UUGGGUCCCUAAAGAAUGGGCAACAACAACAAUGACAUGGUCUUGUCCCUCUUUAAUACCCCCCAAAUAUAUAUCCACAUGCACACACACACACACACACACACAUAUAUAUAUAUAUAUAUAUUUUUGGUCACAAACAAAUCAUUGAUACUUGUUAGUUAGUUAGGUAGUUUGUUUUUGUUUUUGUUUUUUUCAAUUUUGGUGAUAGUCUUUAUUUAAAGCAUCAAAGUGUGAUUCAUGAAAAGACAAAUUUUAGCAUGUUGGUAAAAGAAAAUGUGCUAUAGAUAUAUAAAUAAUGUGUUAGUGAAUGAAUGUGGGGUGGUAUUAGUUAUGAGCACUUUUGAAGUGUGGGUGAGUGCAAUUAGAGAGAUUCAUAGUGUGUCAAGACUUUUUCUAUGGAAUGAUGGGGUACAAUUGAGAGGUUUUGUGGUUGUUUGUUUUGCACCAACCACUUGCCAUUUCAAUGGUGGAUGAGGAAAGGGACAUAAAGGGCUCUUUUUGAGGGAAUUGUAGAAUUGUUUUUGUUAUUGGGUUGGAAGGGACACCCUUCAUGCACUUGGUGUGAGAUUAGAAUUUCCAACUCAUCACUUUCACCUCAUCUAUUUUCAAAAUGGAAGAAAAAGGAGUUGAAGGAAAUAAGAGAAGAAGAAACUCCACCAUUGAAAUAACAUGGAGUUUUCAAACACAAAAGCAAAAUUGAUUCAUUGUUGAGAAAUAUGUUGAGUGGGUGGUGGUGGCAAUAGCAACAUAUGUCAUGAACCCACAAAGGCAACAAGAGACUCUCACAAACAAAACCUAAGACCACAAGACCAUACAAACACCACACACAAGAUGAUGUGAGAGUGCAGCCAGAAGCAUUGUUUGGUAAAACCAAAGCUGCUUCUCAAGGUUGCAGGAGGGGUAUGGCAGAAACGCAGCGCGCAGGGCGCGUAAACAUGUGAGCGCAUGAUGGAAGGCCGCCAAUCAGAUCUACCGCCGGUUUGCGAAGCAAGCGAAGCGUCAGAGCACAAUGUGUGU